rnacentral:rRNA from 1 species
CAAUAGCGUAUAUUAAAGUUGUUGCAGUUAAAAAGCUCGUAGUUGGAUUUCUGGUUGAAGCGACCGGUCGGGCGUUGAUUCGUCUGCACUGGAGUCGGUUUUGGCCAUCCUCUAGGAAAGUGCGUCUGGUAUUAAGUUAUCGGGCGUAUGAUCCUGGUCUUUUACUGUGAAAAAAUUAGAGUGUUUAAAGCAGGCCUUCGCCUUGAAUACAUUAGCAUGGAAUAAUAAGAUAGGACUUUGGUCUAUUUUGUUGGUUUGCAGACCGAAGUAAUGAUUAAUAGGGAUAGUUGGGGGUAUUUAUAUUCCAAUGUCAGAGGUGAAAUUCUUAGAUUUUCGGAAGAUAAACUUAUGCGAAAGCAUUUACCAAGGAUGUUUUCAUUA